AACGAACGCUGGCGGCAGGCCUAAAACAUGCAAGUCGAACGAACCUUCGGGUUAGUGGCGCACGGGUGAGUAACGCGUGGGAAUAUGCCCUUCACUGCGGAACAACGUCGGGAAACUGACGCUAAUACCGCAUAAUGACUCCGGUCCAAAGAUUUAUCGGUGAAGGAUUAGCCCGCGUCUGAUUAGCUAGUUGGUGAGGUAAUGGCUCACCAAGGCGACGAUCAGUAGGGGGUCUGAGAGGAUGAUCCCCCACACUGGAACUGAGACACGGUCCAGACUCCUACGGGAGGCAGCAGUUAGGAAUAUUGGACAAUGGGGGAAACCCUGAUCCAGCCAUGCCGCGUGUGUGAAGAAGGCCUUAGGGUUGUAAAGCACUUUCAGCUGUGAAGAUAAUGACAGUAGCAGAAGAAGCUCCGGCUAAAUUCGUGCCAGGCGCCGCAGUAA
rnacentral:rRNA from 1 species